rnacentral:rRNA from 1 species
CCGGAGUGGACGAACCUCUGGUGUACCGGUUGUCACGCCAGUGGCAUCGCCGGGUAGCUAUGUUCGGAAGAGAUAACCGCUGAAAGCAUCUAAGCGGGAAACUCGCCUUAAGAUGAGAUAUCCCUGGGGACUAGAUCCCCUUGAAGGGUCGUUCGAGACCAGGACGUUGAUAGGUCGGGUGUGUAAGCGCAGUAAUGCGUUCAGCUAACCGAUACUAAUUGCCCGUAAGGCUUGAUCCU